GGGCUCACACAAGCGGUGGAGGAUGUGGCUUAAUUCGAGGCUACGCGAAGAACCUUAUCCUAGUCUUGACAUGUAUGGAUUAACCCUGUGAAAGCAGGGCCACGCCUUCGGGUGGAACAUACACAGGUGCUGCAUGGCUGUCGUCAGCUCGUGUCGUGAGAUGUCGCGUUAAGUCGCUUAACGAGCGAAACCCUUGUCUCUAGUUGCCAGCGCGUAAUGGCGGGGACUCUAGAGAGACCGCCGGCGUUAAGCCGGAGGAAGGUGGGGAUGACGUCAAGUCCUCAUGGCCCUUAUGACUAGGGCUGCACACGUCCUACAAUGGAACGCACAAAGGGAUGCGAAACCGCGAGGUCAAGCAAAUCCCAAAAAUCGUUCCCUAGUUCGGAUUGCAGGCUGCAACUCGCCUGCAUGAAGCUGGAAUCGCUAGUAAUCGCGGGU
rnacentral:rRNA from 1 species